UGGGGAAUUUUGGACAAUGGGGGAAACCCUGAUCCAGCCAUCCCGCGUGUGCGAUGAAGGCCUUCGGGUUGUAAAGCACUUUUGGCAGGAAAGAAACGUCGCGGGUUAAUACCCCGCGAAACUGACGGUACCUGCAGAAUAAGCACCGGCUAACUACGUGCCAGCAGCCGCGGUAAUACGUAGGGUGCAAGCGUUAAUCGGAAUUACUGGGCGUAAAGCGUGCGCAGGCGGUUCGGAAAGAAAGAUGUGAAAUCCCAGAGCUUAACUUUGGAACUGCAUUUUUAACUACCGGGCUAGAGUGCGUCAGAGGGAGGUGGAAUUCCGCGUGUAGCAGUGAAAUGCGUAGAUAUGCGGAGGAACACCGAUGGCGAAGGCAGCCUCCUGGGAUAACACUGACGCUCAUGCACGAAAGCGUGGGGAGCAAACAGGAUUAGAUACCCUGGUAGUCCACGCCCUAAACGAUGUCAACUAGCUGUUGGGGCCUUCGGGCCUUGGUAGCGCAGCUAACGCGUGAAGUUGACCGCCUGGGGAGUACGGUCGCAAGAUUAAAACUUAAAGGAAUUGACGGGGGUGC
rnacentral:rRNA from 1 species